rnacentral:tRNA from 3 species
AGGGGAUUAGUUUAAUGGUAGAACAGCGGUCUCCAAAACCGCGAGUGUGGGUUCAACUCCUGCAUCCCCUGCCA